CUGCCUCCCUCGCGCCUUGUUUUUACAUCUCCUCUAGCUACCUCCGCCAAGGAGGUCAUGCUUUCAUUGACGUUUCUUUCUUUGUGUUUGUUGGCGGGAUUGCGUCAUGAGCUCUUAACUGAUUUUCACAAAACGCUGUGAUUGGGUGUGGCGCAUGUUGCUUCUGUUUUCAUGCCAUUUUUUUUUCUGUUAAAUUAAAAAUCUGGAUGCAGAUCCUGAUACAAAUGUGCAUUCAUCAAAAAAAAAAACAAAAAAACAACAACAUUGGAAUCUGUGACUUAAUUUUCCCAUCUAGUUGAAUUAUGACUGUUCUGCCUUGGUGGUGGUCAGUGCUCAGCUGAGUGCGACUUACCUUGGCCAUGGUGGUUAUUGUUUCAUUUCUCUUUGUUUGUUUGCCAAAUUUAAAUUCUGGUGCCGAUCCAGAUGAAAAUGUGAAUGAAGGAACGCCGGUUGGAGAUUUUAAGUGCCACGUUGUCCAUGGGGCUCUACGUUUUCAUUGUUAGCAUGCGAGAUUGCACGCUGGGAAGUCAGUUAGCUGAUCCAAAUUAGGAUGGUUAAGCCUUUAUGGAGUGCUUCCCACUUCUAAGUGACAUUCGAGUGUCGUCUUGGAUCUUAUCUAAGCGGCGAGCCGCGGAGGUGAAGAUCAGCGCAAAGGCGCAGAAAGAGAGGGGUGGGAUGCUUGAGUCCUGGCGGGGAGGCAACUACUGCUGGGCAGCCCGAGUUGGUAAACGGGACUAGACGGUGGCAGGGGUAUUUCGGAGCGCCGUGGCCCGAGUGUGAAAUAUGCAAGUCCCGCAGUGCCAGCUGUGCUCUAUUCUUAGCGCCCGCUGGUGUUUGGGAGCAUGUGUGCCGGGCGACAGGAGGCUGAAGGGGGGGAACGCCGGAUUGGCAGCGAGCGACGCUCGCUGGCUCCUGGAAAGUUAGCUUGGCAGUAGAGCAAAAGACUGGCAGAUAGAGUCCUGGAUGGAUAGAUUAAACACAUCAUUGUCACGCCGUCGCAGCCUCCACCGAUGCUCUUAUUUAUGACGAAUUUAGCUGUUAUGUUGCAUCAGGGGGAUGUUCUUGUUAUCUCGGGCAGAGACACUCCAUCUGGCUCAGACACGUCUUCACGGAUUAUUCUGCCUCCCGAUACAUUUUACGGUUUAUCUCUGCCAAGCGUGUUAGACUUUUCAUCUGCGUGGGGUUGCUCCUGCGCAACUUCCUGUCGACACUUUUGUAACCUCUUUCUUCCUCAGCAAAUGAUGUUUCCAUUACAUUUUGGUGAGGUGUCAACAUUUCGAAGAAAUCUUUUCCCUUUUCAUCAUGGCAGAAAUCUUCUUUCGGGUUGGGAGCUGGAAUGUCCGACCGGCUUUGAUUCAAAUCUGACACUGAGCGUUCAGUACCAGUUAUACUUAACCUGGAAAAUCCCAUUUAAUAUUCUUACUAUCGCAAUGCCAGAUCAGGUUGGGAUUUGUUGUGUUGAUGUUUUUUAAAAUACUGUAGGACGCAAGCCUGGUCAACGGCAAGAAAUUGGCUGAUGAAUGACACACACAAAAGAAUAGGACUGUAGUACCUAGAUUGACCUGUGAGAGGCAGCAUAGAGUGACAGGGCAUCCAGAUUGCCAAAAAUCCCCAUAAAAGUAGAAGUGAAGAAGCAAUAGAAAAGGCUUGGCUAACUGUUAGCGUCAUGUUAGUUGCUAAUUGGCAAUCGCUGAGUUGGUGGCUCAGACACAAUCGAUAUUGAUCAUACGCCUAGCAGAAAUAUUGAACUUGUUUCACAUUUAAGAUAUGUCGACCCAGAGCAGGGAAAAAAAAACAACUUGAAUGCUCUCCUUGCACACCACAAUUCAAGACUUUGAUUCCAAGCGAGGGAAAAUGCUUUCAAUUUGGCUCGCUCGUCGUUUUGCGUUUACCUCCGCUCACAUGAAUUAAAACAGACCGGCUGUUUGAAAAAGCUAAUUUUGUUUUUAUUGACUCUGUGAACAUCUGGUAGAAGCAUGUCACGUUUUUGUGAUGCGUUUUUUACAGCGCACUUACAACAAUGCCCUCGAUUGUGAGAAAGGCGAGCCACAGUCGACAGUGCACUGACAUGCAUCGAAUGCCGGAGAACAGUCAAACAAUUUAAGGGCGUUCAUGCAGAAACUGCUGUGGUCCACAGCUCUCGCGCAGACAGGAAACGUUUCGCCGUCAAACUUUGCAGCGUCGGGCUACAAAACACCGUUAGCGAUCCAAAAUGCGUCCGUUUUCGCAUGAGCUUGCUUCGCCAUUGAUUUCGCAGGUGACAAAUGUUCAAGCCUCGGUUGAGGCCUCUUUAUCUCCGGCCCCCAUCUUCUCACGACGGAAGCCACGCCGACAAAGAGAAUGAACCUUAUUGAAGGGGAAUGUAUUCGCAAGCUAGCAAGUGGCCACACAUUUCCUGCUACCCAAACGGCUCUGCCGGUAUCCCACUUGGCCGCCGUCCAGAGCCCACUUAGGUUAAAAGGGCUCCUUUUUAGAUGCGGCGAACAAGAGAGGAGGAAAGAGACAACAUAGUGUUGUCUGCUCGCCUGCUGCAAAUUCUAAUGAUCAUCAUGUGCUCAUGAGAUUAUCUGUGACUAAUCAGAAGGCUACUUGUGGCGAACAAACACGUGUGCAGACUGUUGAUUGAGAGAGUUGGUGUUUGCAUCGAUUUCCUCCCCUCGCGCUCAUCUUCAAAUUUGGUCCGUGCUUCUUGUUUUUUUGUUUUCGGUAAAUGGAAAUGUAUCCCCCGCUCAAUUUCACUCCGAAAGGGAGUCGCACUUGGCGCGUCCUUUGAGUCAACGGCGGAUUAGCCAGAGAGCCGCGAGUCUGAACCUGCCCAAGGUGAGAUCCAGGUUCAAGUCGAUGGCGGGGCCGUGACUACUUCCUGACACAUGACCGCUCUUCACUCUGUUGGAGAA